rnacentral:rRNA from 1 species
AUGCCGAUCAUCCUUCCCAAUUCGCUACUUAGGCCUCCGCUUGCGAUUCGACGACUCAAGUGGACCCAUUUGCAGCACCUCGAAGACAAGGCGGCUGGGAAACUUGCACCGUGGAGAGGGGGGCAUGUGGUUAUUGCGGGCCGUAUGACCUUGGUCAAAGCGGUUCUCACGGCGGUGGCCAUCUACCAUAUCACUCCGCUGGAUCUCCCGGUAGAGGUGAUACAGAAGCUGGAUAGCCUGCGAAGAGCCUACCUUUGGGCUGGAACGGACUCAGUGACUGGCGGAAAAUGCAAAAUUAACUGGGAGCAAGUUUGCAGAAAGUUUGCAGACCCAAACAAUUUGGGGGCCUGGGAAUCCUUGAUCUGA